rnacentral:rRNA from 1 species
CGUCAGCUCGUGCCGUGAGGUGUCGGCUUAAGUGCCAUAACGAGCGCAACCCUUAUCAUUAGUUACUAACAGGUCAUGCUGAGGACUCUAGUGAGACUGCCGUCGUAAGAUGUGAGGAAGGUGGGGAUGACGUCAAAUCAGCACGGCCCUUACGUCCGGGGCUACACACGUGUUACAAUGGGGGGUACAGAGGGCAGCUACCGGGCGACCGGGUGCCAAUCCCAAAAAACCUCUCUCAGUUCGGAUCGAAGUCUGCAACCCGACUUCGUGAAGCUGGAUUCGCUAGUAAUCGCGCAUCAGCCACGGCGCGGUGAAUACGUUCCCGGGCCUU